AAUACGUUCCCGGGCCUUGUACACACCGCCCGUCAAGCCAUGGGAGUUGGGAGUGCCUGAAGUCCGUAACCGCAAGGAACGGCCAAGGGCAAAACCAGUGACUGGGGCU
rnacentral:rRNA from 1 species